CAGUCGCCACGGUAAUACCGAGGAUGCAAGCGUUAUCCGGAAUGAUUGGGCGUAAAGCGUCUGUAGGUGGCUUUUCAAGUCCGCCGUCAAAUCCCAGGGCUCAACCCUGGACAGGCGGUGGAAACUACCAAGCUGGAGUACGGUAGGGGCAGAGGGAAUUUCCGGUGGAGCAGUGAAAUGCGUUGAGAUCGGAAGGAACGCCCGUGGCGAAAUCGAGCUCCUGGACGUUUUCUGACGCUGAGACGCGAAAGCCAGGGGAGCGAACGGGAUUAGAUACCCCUGUAGUCCCUGUCUCUUAUAC
rnacentral:rRNA from 1 species